rnacentral:rRNA from 1 species
AUGGGCCCCAGCUCCGGCGACUCCAUCCAGUCGGACAGCGCCGACGUGAGCGGCGAGCUCUCCUCGCCGGGAUGCCUGCCGACGAUGUACAGCUCGUGCGCGUUGCCCAGGUUCCGGAUGGCCGCCAUGGUCUCCUCGCUGUUGGCCACCACCUGCUCCACGUACAUGAUGGCCUCGUUGCCCACGUUGCGCGACCGGAACUCGUUGAGGUACUCCUCGUCCAUCUGCCGCUCCGUCUUGGGCACGUCGGGCACGAUGGUGAUGGCGCGCGAGCCGGACGGCACGGACGACGGCGGCGCCACCGCCGGCGGCGGCGCCGUGUAG